CCCCGACCUCUAAAAAGACUCCCGACACAGGUUAGGAAGAUAGCGACAUCUCCAAAGUAAUGCGGAGUCCGGACGGCCAAGCUCGGGCUUGCGGCCAUGCACGAUGAGAAAGGCAAGCUAACGCAUCGACGACUGGGCGCCUCCCAAUGAUGUCUACAUCAGACAAGUCGAGCGACAAGAAAAGUUCGGCGAACGACAAUUUAGUACAAUGCGCGGAUGAGGUAACACGAAACACCCUUUUCAUUCCAUUUCCAAAAUACACACUACAAAACCCGGAAGGCCAAGGAAAGAAAAGCAAAACGACAAAAGUGGGAUAAAACAACAAAAAGGAAAGUAUACACAU
rnacentral:lncRNA from 1 species